UAUGAUCUUUGCUUUAAGAGCUUAAAGCCCUCGUGCUACGCAAGGGCCAAACCUACUGCGAAUUAGACAAAUUUACACCAAACUAUAACAAUUGAGCAAGUAAUUCCAGCCACUAAAUCUUAGACCUCAAAUACUUAGAAUGAUCAAAUAUAUAUCGUGGGAACUACACUGUACCUGCUCCUAAUCUUCUAUCUACAUUCUGAUCAUUUCGUAAAGCCUUAAAAAAACUAACUAAUUUUUGUGAUUAAUUCAUAUGCACUCAAGUCUCAACACUCUAGGAAUCACAAGAUUUUCCAGGAAUUAUGCAAAAGAAAGGUCCAAUCUCAGGAACAAAAUGCAAAUUAAACGUUGGUGUUCAAUUGGUGCUCGUGGACUGAUUAGAAGAGCAACACUUGGGGUUCUCAGAUCUUGAAAGUUUGCAUACAACAGGAAAAUCACGAUACAAAGGUUUGAUAUCAUUUAAUCCCUAAUUGAAUGAUUCAUGUGUUUGAUUAUGUUUGCGAUCUUAUGAUAGAGGUUAGGAAAUAAUUUCCUAAAAUUCCGAUAUAUGCAUCUAUAUAUUCCUACAGUGGUAUCAGUUUGCCUAUUUCAUAAUAUUGAUCAUGUAAUUGUAUGCAAAGUUAUUAUUUUUAGUCAAUUAAGGAAGGAUUUAUUUA